rnacentral:rRNA from 1 species
UACGUAUGGUGCAAGCGUUAUCCGGAUUUACUGGGCGUAAAGGGAGCGCAGGCGGCGCGCCAAGUCUGAUGUGAAACCCCGGGGCUCAACCCCGGGCAUGCAUUGGAAACGGGCGGGCUGGAGUGCCGGAGAGGUAAGCGGAAUUCCUAGUGUAGCGGUGAAAUGCGUAGAUAUUAGGAGGAACACCAGUGGCGAAGGCGGCUUACUGGACGGCAACUGACGCUGAGGCUCGAAAGCGUGGGGAGCAAACAGG